AGAACGCUAGCGGNAGCCUAACACAUGCAAGCCGAGCGGUAUUUCUUCUUCGGAAGAGAGAGAGCGGCGCACGGGUGCGUAACACGUGUGCAACCUACCUUUAUCUGGGGGAUAGCCUUUCGAAAGGAAGAUUAACACCCCAUAAUAUAUUAGAUGGCAUCAUUUGAUAUUGAAAACUCCGGUGGAUAAAGAUGGGCACGCGCAAGAUUAGAUAGUUGGUGAGGUAACGGCUCACCAAGUCAAUGAUCUUUAGGGGUCCUGAGAGGGAGAUCCCCCACACUGGUACUGAGACACGGACCAGACUCCUACGGGAGGCAGCAGUGAGGAAUAUUGGACAAUGGGUGAAAGCCUGAUCCAGCCAUCCCGCGUGAAGGAUGACGGUCCUAUGGAUUGUAAACUUCUUUUGUACAGGGAUAAACCUACUCUCGUGAGGGUAGCUGAAGGUACUGUACGAAUAAGCACCGGCUAACUCCGUGCCAGCAG
rnacentral:rRNA from 1 species